rnacentral:rRNA from 1 species
GACGAACCGUGCGAACGUUGUUCGGAUUCACUGGGCUUAAAGGGCGCGUAGGCGGGCGUGCGAGUCAGGGGUGAAAGCCCCCGGCCCAACCGGGGAAGGGCCUCUGAUACCGCACGGCUGGAGGGAGGUAGGGGCAGCUGGAACUUCCGGUGGAACGGUGAAAUGCGUAGAUAUCGGAAGGAACGCCGGUGGCGAAAGCGGGCUGCUGGACCUUUCCUGACGCUGAGGCGCGAAAGCCAGGGGAGCGAACGGG